rnacentral:lncRNA from 1 species
UUGGGUGAUGUGAUUGGUGGAUGAGAAAUAGUAAAAUAUGACAUACUAGGUUGCAGAAAUGUAAGUUCUUUUCAUACCAUUAUUUGUUCAUUACAUAUCCUUUGUGGUCCUAAUACUGAGUGCUUUGCAGUUUCUUUUGCCAUGGAAGUAUGUCAAUACCUACCUGCUUUAUGUACUCGACAUUAAGCGGAAGAAACUUAUUAUGAUUGAAACGUGCAUAUCGAAAAAGUGAGUAAAUAUGCUUUGUUGUACGUUCCUUUGUAAUUUUACAAUAUACGAUAAAUCCCAUCACACGAG